GACGAACGCUGGCGGCGUGCUUAACACAUGCAAGUCGAGCGAGGCCCCUCCUUCGGGAGGGUGUCCUAGCGGCGAACGGGUGAGUAACACGUGGGCAACCUGCCCUCAGCUCUGGGAUAACCCCAAGAAAUUGGGGCUAAUACCGGAUAUGACCGCUGACCGCAUGGUCUGGUGGUGGAAAGAUUUAUCGGCUGGGGAUGGGCCCGCGGCCUAUCAGCUUGUUGGUGGGGUAGUGGCCUACCAAGGCGACGACGGGUAGCCGGCCUGAGAGGGUGACCGGCCACACUGGGACUGAGACACGGCCCAGACUCCUACGGGAGGCAGCAGUGGGGAAUAUUGCGCAAUGGGGGCAACCCUGACGGAGCAACGCCGCGUGAGUGAAGACGGCCUUCGGGUUGUAAAGCUCUGUUCUUGGGGAAGAAAACAAUGACGGUACCCAAGCAGAAAGCCCCGGCUAACUACGUGCCAGCCGCCGCGGUAAUAC
rnacentral:rRNA from 1 species